AUCUUCGGCAAUGGGCGCAAGCCUGACCGAGCGACGCCGCGUGCGGGAUGAAGGCCUUCGGGUUGUAAACCGCUGUCGUAGAGGAGGAAAUGCAGGGGGGUUCUCCCCUCUGUUUGACCUAUUCUAGGAGGAAGGACGGGCUAAGUUCGUGCCAGCAGCCGCGGUAAGACGGACCGUCCAAACGUUACUCGGAAUUACUGGGCUUAAAGGGUGCGUAGGCUGCGCGGAAAGUCGGGUGUGAAAGCCCUCAGCUCAACUGGGGAAUUGCAUUCGAAACUACCGUGCUCGAGGGAGACAGAGGUGAGCGGAACUCAAGGUGGAGCGGUGAAAUGCGUUGAUAUCUUGAGGAACACCGGUGGCGAAAGCGGCUCACUGGGUCUUUUCUGACGCUGAGGCACGAAAGCUAAGGUAGCAAACGGGAUUAGAUACCCCGGUAGUCUUAGCUGUAAACGAUGAGCACUUGUUUGAAGGGUCCUCCAUAGCCUUUCAGACGUAGCGAAAGUGUUAAGUGCUCCGCCUGGGGAGUAUGGUCGCAAGGCUGAAACUCAAAGAAA
rnacentral:rRNA from 1 species